rnacentral:rRNA from 1 species
AACGAACGCUGGCGGCAUGCCUAACACAUGCAAGUCGAACGAGACCUUCGGGUCUAGUGGCGCACGGGUGCGUAACGCGUGGGAACCUGCCCUUAGGUUCGGAAUAACUCCCCGAAAGGGGUGCUAAUACCGGAUAAUGUCUUCGGACCAAAGAUUUAUCGCCUUUGGAUGGGCCCGCGUUGGAUUAGCUAGUUGGUAGGGUAAAAGCCUACCAAGGCGACGAUCCAUAGCUGGUCUGAGAGGAUGAUCAGCCACACUGGGACUAAGACACGGCCCAGACUCCUACGGGAGGCAGCAGUGGGGAAUAUUGGACAAUGGGCGAAAGCCUGAUCCAGCAAUGCCGCGUGAGUGAUGAAGGCCUUAGGGUUGUAAAGCUCUUUUACCCGGGAUGAUAAUGACAGUACCGGGAGAAUAAGCUCCGGCUAACUCCGU